CCAGCGUCCGAUGCCGUGCCUCUCGCGGGGUCGCCAUAGCCAUCUGUGUAGACUUGCAGCCAGUCCGCCAUCUGCCCGGUCGCCGGCCAGGUGCUGAGCACCAGCUGCCUUGUGACGGCCGUGUCCUGCGCCCUCUUGCUGGUCAUGUUGGCAAGGUCCAGCGACACAUCGACCUGCUGGGACCCGAAGAAGGAGGGGGCAGUGACGUCUGCCCUGGGGGUCCAACAACCUCCAUGUGCCUCCUUAAGAGCACCUCCAUCCGGGUCUUGGGGCAUCGUCGCAUCCUCUCCACUAGGGUGGCAGUGUCUGGCCGGCCGACAAGCUGCGUCGGGUCAUUCAACGUGUGCCUCUCGCCGUUGUUGAGAACAGUGUUCCUCCCCGCCUUGAGGAGAGUCUGGGCCGAAAUGGCAUACCUGUGGGCAUCAAAACACACCUGGAGUCCCACCCGCUGCAGCGUCUCAAGCUCCUCCCUCUGCAGUCUUUUCAGAGACAGGAAGGGCAGCGCAUAAUCCAGGCCCAGAUACAACUACAACAUCAUGGCAGUGAAAGUGCCCUGUGGAAGUCGUCGACACAGUGGAGGUGGGACCGGGUUCUUGCGAUGAUGGUGGUCAUGGCUGGCCUCUAACCGCCUGGUCGAUGGCAAGUCCAAGGGACGUCAUCGUCGGGGUGAUCUUGACUUCAGGUCCAAGGAAGGGUCAGCAUCAUUCAUGCCUGCAUAAGUGAUAGUCACAUGGCCCGCCGAUUUGGAGUGCGUCACCUUCAAAGAUGAGAUCACCGAGCCCUCUUUCCUGAGCAGCGAGUUGGACGUGCAACAACCUAAGAUUCAGCACCAAGGGAAUAUACGCCGAUGCCGCUUCUGCCCUUAUUGGAGUCGCCAUCCGCAACAUUUUGCCAAUCACGAAAUGACGCACACGGGAGAGAAGUCAUUCAGCUGUCAUGUCUGCCAGAGAAGGUUUUCUAAGAAGGUCAACUUGCAGAGACACAUGAGGAUUCACACGGGUGAAAAGCCGUACCAAUGCGAGGUUUGUCAGAAGGCGUUCGCACGGAGUACUGGCUUGAUGUAUCACAGGAAGGUUCAUGCGGAGGAAGGACAGUAGCAUGUAGCACUUGUGGGAAAGCAUUCAAACGGUAUUCUAACCUGUUGGUUCAUGAUACUAGUCGCAAAAAUCAGUAGCUGUAUAGGUGAGAGAACUGUUGGAAAACAUUUGUGCCGAGAACCCAUCUAUAUGAACAUAAGGGUGGAAGAGGGAUCCGCAUUCCCUUAUACCCGUGGGGGCUCUUGUAGAUAACCUUUUCAGAAGUUUCACUGUGUGUUUUAUUUCCUGUCCAUAUUUGUUCAGCAGGAAGCAACUUUAUUGUUGAGUCUUAAUUUGCGUUCACCAUCAGUUGUUUCAAUUGCUAGUCCAGAAAUGGCUGCAGUGCCAUUGAUAUGGGCCAGUUUACUGACAGAAGCAGGUAUCUCAUCUGGCAUAUGUGAGGUCUUUUUAAGUGACAUGAUCAGCUCUGUGGGCCAAAGAAAUACGAGCAUUACUGAGAAAUGACUUGGUAUGGCCUUGCUUCAGUCUUAGAAAAGCUAUCCAGUUUGCAGAAAACAGGUAAUAUGACUUUAAAUUGGAGUGAAAUGAAAAGCGACCGUGUACUUUAAGAGGAGCUGCAUGCAAAGUUACCGUUGAUGAAGGUAGGGCUGAAUGAAAAUAAAUUAGUGCUAAGUGGAAUAUAAAGAAAACAGUCUGACAUUAGGCAGUCAUUCAGUUUGUUGCUUGGGCACAAAGGUGGGUGCAAGGGGAGAGAUACAUAUCGGGUAUCUCCCGCUUGCACCCUCCUUUGUGCCCUUUAACAUCACGUGAUCAGCUUUGUGAAUCAAAGAAGUACUAACGUGCUGCCAAUAUCUGCCCAUUAUUGAAGCUGCAAAAUGCGAUUCAGUUUGCAAAAAAGGAACGAAGGAACUUGAAAUCUUGAGGAAAUUAAACGCUUCUUAGUUUAGGAGCUGCGUGCAAAGUUAGGCUUGCAUAUCUAGAGGUAAAUGAAAGUUAAAAGAAAAGAGCAACAGUCAGUCAGUCCGUGUCUGUUCAGUGAGUAGAUUGGGGGAACAACAUAACCAGUUGAUCAGGAAAUGGUUAGAGAAAAUCGAGUGAUCGCAAUACGCUAAGUGUCUGGAAGCAAACAACUAAGGUGUGCUUGUGUGGGAUAGAACACACAAAACAGCCGCCAUUGCUUACUUCAAGACAGUGUGAAUUAUCCCGACAUUUUUUCACUUCAGUGCCAUCUUAUAAAUGAAAGCAGCACAUCUGCAAUGGCAAACAUCAAAGAUUUUUUUUAAUUGGGAAGCACUGCCAUUAGGGGAAAGCUCCAGGUUCAAAGCAGCAGCAACAAAUUAUAAAACGUUGUUUGCAGACGGGCUAACCAAUUACUUUUAAAUACUUUCAUGAGCUUAAUUACAAGGGCAUUGUCGUCGCACUCUACUUGCAGGCGUUAUUCGCCCUCUAGUGUUGAAGGAGUUUGUGCGUUCAAGGCUGUACAACUCGCUUUCUCUUUUGUGUCGCAUUUAGGCUGUUUUAUUAUGCACUGUUCGGUGCACUUGUUGAUGCACUGGGUUGUGAAGAGUAUACAAGUGUUUCAUAUCUUAUUAUUUAGUGUCAUUAUAUUUCUUGUGUUGGAGAGUUUUCUUGUUACCAUAUGGGGUAUAUGGUAAUGUAUGUAUAAUAUAAAUACAGAGCUGUAUAUUGCGCAACGCCCAUCACUGGUUAUAAUUUCGUUUCCAUAUAUAUCUAUGUCCCCAACUUUCUUGCUUUCACCCUCAUGUAAUGCAUUGUAGAUGUCUUUAAGGUAUAAUAAAUGAAAUGGAAUAAUA
rnacentral:lncRNA from 1 species